rnacentral:lncRNA from 1 species
AUAUUUUCAAGCUGCCAAGGGGGCAGUUCUAGGAACAAGAUCUCAUUUUCCUGAAAAUCUAGAAAUUGCCCUUCUGAUAUGUCUAUUGAAAUCACUCUAGGGCUACACUUUUGGAGACAAGAAAAGAAAGAUGCCACAUUUUAAAUCAAAACAUCCUGGGAGUGCCUAGAAGAGCUAGAAGAGUAUAAGGAAGCCUGUGGGCUGCUUUCAAAGAUGAGAAAGACAAUAGCAUAAAAGAGGCCAUUCAUCCUACUUGAGCUUUAAUCAAGAAACAGAAUGAAAGGAAAUAAAACCUGGGCGGUGGAACAACAAAAGACCAUCAUUACCAUUACCGAGGAAUCUCAAACACUAUGGCAAGAUGAAAACAACCUUCCUGCUAAAGCUGUUAACUGUUAUAGAAAAUCCCUACUUCCUAACAAUGAGCUGCCAGAACGACAAUUUCUGCCACAGUGAAAGAGAGAAUGCAUUUGGAAAAGAAAAUUUAAAAAAUCCGAGUCUAAAUCCAUUCAGACAAGUACAAGAUGCAAAUGAGAGAAAUAAGAAAUAUCAGAAAACAACAUUACUACAACAAUGUACAUGGAAAGAAAACAACAAAAAAUGAAAGUGAACAAUGUAUUUAAGACAACCGAGAUUGGGACUUGGAACUAUAGAUGGAUGGGUUGAAGCAUUUCUUUACCUGUCUGAAAAAGUCCAAGAAGGGGUAAAGAUUCUCCAGAAGGAAACCAUCCCUGGGUUGUGACCUCUUACAUUCACUCCAUAUUUACAAAGUGCUGGUCUUUACCAUAGAGGUAACCCAACAUAUAACAGGGACCCAACUGAUUAAAUAUCACCUGCACUUUGCCUGGCAUCCCCGUUAUCAGGAAAAGUAGAGAAAAUGAGUCAUACUGACAAUAAAAUUCUUGGGUUCAGACA